rfam:Aedes albopictus isolate Foshan contig45085, whole genome shotgun sequence.
GGCUCGGUAGCUUAGUUGGAAAAGCACUUGUCUAGCGAAUAAGGGUCCUGAGUUCAAAUCUCACCUGAGCUG